CAUGACAUAGACUGACCAGGUGUUAAACAUGACAUAGACUGACCAGGUGUUAAACAUGACAUAGACUGACCAGGUGUUAAACAUGACAUAGACUGACCAGGUGUUAAACAUGACAUAGACUGACCAGGUGUUAAACAUGACAUAGACUGACCAGGUGUUAAACAUGACAUAGACUGACCAGGUGUUAAACAUGACAUAGACUGACCAGGUGUUAAACAUGACAUAGACUGACCAGGUGUUAAACAUGACACACAUGACAUAGACUGACCAGGUGUUAAACAUGACAUAGACUGACCAGGUGUUAAACAUGACAUAGACUGACCAGGUGUUAAACAUGACAUAGACUGACCAGGUGUUAAACAUGACAUAGACUGACCAGGUGUUAAACAUGACAUAGACUGACCAGGUGUUAAACAUGACAUAGACUGACCAGGUGUUAAACAUGACAUAGACUGACCAGGUGUUAUACAUGACAUAGACUGACCAGGUGUUAAACAUGACAUAGACUGACCAGGUGUUAAACAUGACAUAGACUGACCAGGUGUUAUACAUGACAUAGACUGACCAGGUGUUAAACAUGACAUAGACUGACCAGGUGUUAUACAUGACAUAGACUGACCAGGUGUUAAACAUGACAUAGACUGACCAGGUGUUAAACAUGACAUAGACUGACCAGGUGUUAAACAUGACAUAGACUGACCAGGUGUUAUACAUGACAUAGACUGACCAGGUGUUAAACAUGACAUAGACUGACCAGGUGUUAUACAUGACAUAGACUGACCAGGUGUUAUACAUGACAUAGACUGACCAGGUGUUAAACAUGACAUAGACUGACCAGGUGUUAAACAUGACAUAGACUGACCAGGUGUUAUACAUGACAUAGACUGACCAGGUGUUAUACAUGACAUAGACUGACCAGGUGUUAAACAUGACAUAGACUGACCAGGUGUUAAACAUGACAUAGACUGACCAGGUGUUAUACAUGACAUAGACUGACCAGGUGUUAUACAUGACAUAGACUGACCAGGUGUUAAACAUUACAUAGACUGACCAGGUGUUAAACAUGACAUAGACUGACCAGGUGUUAAACAUGACAUAGACUGACCAGGUGUUAUACAUGACAUAGACUGACCAGGUGUUAUACAUGACAUAGACUGACCAGGUGUUAAACAUGACAUAGACUGACCAGGUGUUAAACAUGACAUAGACUGACCAGGUGAAUCCAGGUGAAAGCUAUGAUCCCUUUUUGAUGUCACUUUGUUAAAUCCACUUCAAUCAGUGUAGAUGAAGGGGAGGAGACCUGGUUAAAGGAGGAUUUUUCAGCCUUGAGACAUGGAUUGUCUGUGUGUGUUAUUCAGAAGGCAAGACAAAGUGCCUUUGAACGGGGUGUGGUAGUAGGUGUCAGGCACACUGGUUUGAAUGUCAAGAACUGCAACGCUGCUGGGUUUUUCACACUCAACAGUUCCCUGUGUGUAUCAUGAAUGGUCCACCACCCAAUGGACAUCCAGCCAACUGGACACAACUGUGGGAAGUAUUGGAGUCAACAUGGGCCAGCAUCCCUGUGGAACCCUUUCAACACCUUGUAGAGUCAACAUGGGCCAGCAUCCCUGUGGAACGCUUUCAACACCUUGUAGAGUCAACAUGGGCCAGCAUCCCUGUGGAACACUUUCAACACCUU